UAGGGACGGGUACUAGCAAUGCAGUCGAACGAACUCUGAAAUUGCUUGCUGCUUGGCUGUGAUUUACAUUUCGCUGAGUGAUCACUGGUGACUGCAUGAGGGAAACCUGCAAAGAAGGGGAACGGAAAACCUGACCGCAGAUGCUCAUACCACAUAAGAACUUGACCCGCGUGCUCCUUGCCAUCAAGAGGGCCUCGACUAUCUCAUUUGGAUGGUCGCGCGACGUAUCACCUAGAUGACGAUCCCACGCCUCACCAUGACAAUGAUACGUAGCACUGCUGAGAGGCACGCCCCAAACUUAUACCUGAGACACGGCCCAAACUCAUACGGAAUGAGCAGUAGGUAAUCUUCCACAAUGGACGAAGUCUGAUGGAGCAACGCCGCGUGAAGUAAUUUAGGUUUCGGCUCGAAAACUCUGUUGUACCUUAGAACAUAGGGGGAGAGUACUGAUCAAGUAUUGAUAUAUUUAACCAGAAACCCACGGCUUAAUACGUGCCAGCAGCCGCGGUAAUU
rnacentral:rRNA from 1 species